UUGUAUCCCACAGGCUCUAAAAUGAUGUAAUUCUUUGCCACAUAGUUCUAGAUAUUUUGCUUUUUGCAUUAGGAUUUCAGGUUUAAUCCAUAAAUUGCUGAAGAUAUAUUAAUAAGUAUCUUUACUCUGUGUAUUCUUAGUGGGCCACAACUAAUUCACCUUUUAGAUAUAACAUGGCACAGCAUAUAGUAGAUAUUUCCUGAAAGCUGGUUUAAGUGAACUGAAUCUUUUUUGAAAUCACUUAGACUGACAGAAGUGAGUCUCAAAUAUACAUCUCUUGAUUUUUUUAGUCAGAUUUAUUGAGAAAUAAUUUACUUAUAAUAAAAUUCACCCUGUUUAUAAACUUGACACAUGUAUACAGUCAUGCAACCACUACCACAAUUAGGAUAAAGAUGAUUAGCUCCCCACAAAGUUCUUUGUUUCUUUUGUAGUCAGUUCCCCCCCCCAUCUCCAGGCAACCAUUGAACUCUUUUUGUCAGGAUAGUUUUGCCUUUCUAGAAUGUCAUAGGAAUAGAAGCAUAUAGUAGGUAGCCUUUGUGUCUUCCUUCUUUCACUCAAUGCAUUUGAGAUUCUUCCAUGUUGUUACAUGUAAUAGUAGUUUUAUUCCUUUUUAUUGUUGAGUAGUGUUCCACUAGUUGGCUAUGACAUAGUUUAUUAUCCAUUCGCCAGCUGAUGGAUGUUUAGUUUGUUUCCAUUUAGGUAGUUUUUAGCAAUUAUGAGUGAGGCUUCUAUAAACAUUCGUGUACAGGUUUUGUGAGGACAUAAGUUUUUAUUUCUCUUGGGCAAACACCUAAGAGUGAAGUUGCUGGAUGUUCUGAUAAUUGUGUGUUAGUGGUGGGGAUUGGUGGUGGAAGAGGAGUGGAUAGGCUCUCUGAUGUCCUACUGCAGGAUAGUGUUUCCUGGUCCUUCCAGCAGUGAUAGCACACCUGUAACACAUUAACAUAAUAUCAUGGGGCUGACUCCAUACUGUUUCCUGACCCCGCUCCAGGGCCAAAGGAGUUUUUCUUCUACAUUUUCCCAUCAGCAGUGGGUCUUUACCUGUGCCUGGUAGUGACAGAGUUUUCUCUGCCCCUCUCACAGAGGUUUAAGGUUUUGCUACUUAUGAGAGGAUGGUCUGGGCAGGGUGUCUGGGGUUCAUGCUUUCCCCACAGCAGCAGUCCCUGUCUUCCAGCUGGCCGUACCACACAAGGGACUCUCUCAGGUUGUCUACUGUGCUAUCAUCUUUCUCAUGAGCACCUGCUGGGGUCCACGGAAAAGAGCCUGGGAGUAAGUACCAAUUCCUCUUAUGUCCGGGGCUGCCAGGGGUUUCAUACUGUCAUACUACCCACACUCAACCUUUACCAAUUCUUUAAAGGUUUGGUUGAUGUUUUUUUAAACUCAGUUGUAGUGUGGUCAGUGCUUUUUCUCCCAUUCUCUGCCACCUGUGAGCCAGUCCAUGGGUACUUGAUUCAAUUUAAUUUUAUUCAAAUAUAAACUUAAACUAAAAACAAUUCAGCAUAGUUUAAUUUCUUGUAUUGCCUUUCUAUUGGGGCAUUAAUGGAGGGAAAGUUAGAUGAUUGGGAGGAUCAAAAUCUGAAUCCAAAGAGAUGUGUUCUCAAACUAGCCUCCCACAGACACUGGGGUUUGGCUACAAAAUUUGACUGAGUUGCUUUUUUCCCAAAUACUCAGAAAAUAGUUAAAUUUAUGGGCUGAAUUUUCUGAAUUCUAAGAUUCUACCUCAUAAUUUGUUAUUAUUAUAAAACCUUGGUAACUGCUGCUGAUUGUUUGCUCAGUGGUACAUGCAGCUGGGUAAACAAUGAGCAUGAAAAUGGCAAAUUGGACAUCCAAUCAAGCUUUUUCAUCACUUUAUAAGGAUGUGGAAAGUCUUCCAGGACUGAUUUGAAAAUAGCUGAAAUAUAUCCUGAAGAAUUUUCAACUUUUGCAAAAUUCAAAUUUUUAUUACUAUUAUGAUCCUUACCUUAUGGAUAAGGAAACUGAGGCACAGAGAGUUUAAGAAACUUGACAAAGCUGCAAAGCUAGUUGGUGGCAAAGCCAGGAUAUGGACCAAGACAGGCUGGAUCCAGAGCAUAUGCUAUUCUACCGUGUUGCAUUUUCACUAAAUUCAAGGUAAGUGUUUGAAAUCUGGGGCAUGGUCAAACUCUCCUUUUCCAGGAGAGUUUUUGUAUGAUCAGAUAAGGUCAUUGUAUUCAUCCAUUUGUUAAAUGUAGCAACAAGAUUAUAAUUUUUUUUUGAACAUGGAUAUGUUCCGAAUAUAGGUAUAAUUUGAGUGCUAGAACUGUCUCAUCCUCUUACUAGCUGUGUGAAUAUGGGUAUACUCAGAUUCAUCACUUGAAACAAAGGAACAUUACCACUUGCUUGACAUGCCUUGCAAAUUAUUGGGAGAAAAAGAGCUGGGAAGUGUGAAUUCAGGACGCAUUAAGAACAUUUGCACCAUGAAAAUGAAGCAAAUUGAAACCAACACCAGCUUCUCACAACCUUUUGCCAUCUCAUUUUCCUGGUUUUGUCCUGUCUAAUUUAGAUCAUAAACCCUCCAGUCAGAAACCAUCACCUCUUUAUACAGAGUACGAUGACUGGUGUCACUAUUUAAUAAAAACACAAGAAGCAGCUGCAAAGGUUUGAAAUUAAAUCUACAAACGUAAGGUGAAAGUUAUAUUGAGUUCCAACGGUAGGUCAUUAUGGCAAAAUUAAGAUAAGGACAUGGAUUUGUUUUCUUAAUUUUCCUAAAACUGGUGUAAUGUAGCAAUUAAGAGAAUGUGGUCCAGAGUCAGGUUUCCUAUGUUACAAUUCUAACUUGGCCUCUUACUAAUUAUAUAAUGUUUUGAACACACUAUAUUUUAUAGAUUCCAUAAAAUACAAUAUUUUACAUUUUCACAUCUCAGAAAUUGAGAUUAUUUAUACAAGGAACAGUAUUUUAUGAUUACCAUUGCCCACAUAGCAGCUAAGAUACAGCUGGCAUUGCCUGAACAUGUGCACACACACACACACACACACACACACAUGCACACACACACGCACACACACAUACAUAUUUGGCCAUUGCUGUUCACGUUGUCGUGAGUUUACCUGAGUUAUAGGCAUUGGUGUUAAUGCACGUGCUGAGGUAAUUUGCUAUUUAAACUGUCUUGAGAAAAAUUUCACAGUGCAUUUGGCUUUAAGAUAAAAAGUUAUUGUAUAUGCAGAAACAAAGCAGUGGGGCUUAAAUUUGUUAUUUGUGAAGCAACAAUUCAUCACUGGAAGAAUGACUGUUAUGCCAGGUUUUCUUGCAAAGAAAAAAGAAGGGGGCUUUAUGAUAUCCAAGAAAGGAAAGUACCCUCAGGUAGCUGAAACUGUGUUCCUUUUGUUACUGAGGUGCAGCAAAAGUAUUGCUUAUCACACACCAAGUCAUGCAACCAAAAAGCAGGAGAAAUCCCAAAUCCCUUGGUAUAUGGAGAAAAAAAUUGCAAGGCAGUGAGAGGCUGGUGUGACAGAAGAGCACUUUCAACAAGUAUAAAAUAAAAAUCUGAAGUGGCAAGAAAAUAUUAUAUCACAGUUUGGCAGCAUUUCCCCCCCUUUUUAUUUGUAUAUUUAAAAAAUCAUAUAAUGUGCUCAUGACUUCCUUGAAAUGUGAAAUACAGAAUACCUCAUUAGCUGUGUGAGAAUUAAAUGAAAUAACAUAGGUGAAGUGUUAUUGGUGUGCUUGACACAUAGUAAGUGUAUAAUACAUGUUGGCCAUUAUUAUCAUCAUCAAAUUACAAAGGCCUUUCAUUUUUGUAUCUGCUCUCUAAUAGAUUAAUGGGGAUUAGAAACAAUUCAAGUGGGAUAUGUUUCAUUUGAAAAUAAAAUGUGGUUUUGUGAUCUCAGGGAGAGCUGGGGAAAGUUUAAUAGGCAAUAUCAGGUGUUUCACAAGUGGGAGGGAUGAGUGAAGUGAGAACUUUUCACAGUGUGGCCAACAUGGGAUGACUUUUCCUGUCGUGGACUGGAAGUUAUAUGGUACUACCCUAAGAAAUUGCUUCCUGGCAACAUGAUAGAUACAGCUUCAGCCGUAUUUCCUUAACCAACAAAAUUGCAGACAUUUCUAUGUACCACUUUGGUGUUUUAUUCGAGAGUGUAGUGUUAAUUUCAGCGUACCACUUCACACACACACAAAAAAAAAUUCAUGGCUUUAGAAAUUGUGAUUUUAGCAGCUAUUUGGAGCUGCAAGUACAUUUAAGGAUUUUAUUGAAAAGUUCUCAAGUAAACAAAUGUGGGCCUCGGCUCAGUGAAUUUACACAAUGUUCAAGUACACAGAUGAAUUCAACCUCUGAAUUUUAAUUUUCAUCUAACUUGAGCUGUUGCAUUCCUCAAAACAUAAAAGGAAGAAUUUAUAAAGUCAUGAGUGACGCUAAUUGGGAUGUGAUUUUUUUUCAGAAUCCAUUUCCUGGUUAGAAAGUCAACAUUUUGAGAUACUUUCCCAAAAUAUCUUUCAGAUUGUGUUCAAGAGUCUCUAUUAAAAGUUAAUUCUUUUUUUCUUUAACAAAUUAACUUUUGAAGUCUGAAAUAUCUACUUGAAUAUAUUUGAUUUUUAUUUAUCAAGAUAACUAAAGUAAAGGCAUGUCAUACACCACUCCUCUUUCGCUCACUACAUUUUUUAAGUUCAUGUUUGUGAAGGACAAGCAAAGCUUGUGUGUAUUUGAUUUUUGUCACUUUUGUUAUUUCAAGAGUACAAAGAUGAUAACACAAGAUAUUUGAGACCUUAGGAUUGAAAAUCUCUCUUAAGGCCAGAGGAAUUAUGGAAAUUUCAGUGCACAAACAAUUCUGGGCUUAUUCAUUUGGCCAAAUUAGUUUGUCUUGUUUUUGCAUUAUAAUUUUGAUUGCUGCACUCCAGUGUCUUUUCUGUCCCUGAAAACUAUCUAGAAAUAUUUGGCUAUUAUCGUAAUAAUUGUGUCACGAGACAGUUGUUCUAGUAAUAAAGUUAACCAGUCAUGAUAGAGUGCCUCUGGACAAGUGGACUUGUGUGUGUGUGUGUGUGUGUGUGUGUGUGUGAUUGCAAGUUAACUUGGUGUGUUUACUUAUUAGUCUUAACAAAGUUAUCCUCUUAAAAAGUGGGGAGGAAAGGGGGCACCUGGGUGGCUCAGUCAGUUAAGGGUCUGACUCUUGAUUUUGGCUCAGGUCAUGAUCUCACGGUUCAUGAGAUCGAGCCCUCAUCAGGCUUGAUCAGCGUGGAGCCUGCUUGGGAUUCUCUCUCCAUCUCUCUGUCCCUCCCAUCUCUCAAAAUAAAUAAAUAAACUAAAAAAAGAAAAAGUGUGGAGGGAAGAAAAAUGCU